AUUGAACGCUGGCGGCAGGCCUAACACAUGCAAGUCGAACGGUAACAGGAAGAAGCUUGCUUCUUUGCUGACGAGUGGCGGGCGGGUGAGUAAUGUCUGGGAAACUGCCUGAUGGAGGGGGAUAACUACUGGAAACGGUAGCUAAUACCGCAUAAUGUCGCAAGACCAAAGAGGGGGACCUACGGGCCUCUUGCCAUCGGAUGUGCCCAGAUGGGAUUAGCUAGUAGGUGGGGUAACGGCUCACCUAGGCGACGAUCCCUAGCUGGUCUGAGAGGAUGACCAGCCACACUGGAACUGAGACACGGUCCAGACUCCUACGGGAGGCAGCAGUGGGGAAUAUUGCACAAUGGGCGCAAGCCUGAUGCAGCUAUGCCGCGUGUAUGAAGAAGGCCUUCGGGUUGUAAAGUACUUUCAGCGGGGAGGAAGGGAGUAAAGUUAAUACCUUUGCUCAUUGACGUUACCCGCAGAAGAAGCACCGGCUAACUCCGUG
rnacentral:rRNA from 1 species